AAGACUAUACUUUCAGGGAUUAUUUCUAUAGUUUAUAGCUGAGAAUUGCGUUUUGAAAGUGUUUGGUCUCGCUACCCACAGUGAUGAGAUAAUGCGUUCUCUUCUGAGCGCGAAGUGGAUAGAGAGUAUUGGUUUUGAUUAACUGCUCUCUAUCUUUGAUGACCGUUCCGAUUCUGUGAAGAAUUCGGGAGAAGGGGGUGCGUUCUGAGUGGU